UACGUAGGGACCAAGCGUUGUUCGGAUUUACUGGGCGUAAAGGGCGCGUAGGCGGCAUGACAAGUCACUUGUGAAAUCUCCGGGCUUAACUCGGAACGGUCAAGUGAUACUGUCGCCCUAGAGUGCGGAAGGGGCAAUCAGAAUUCUUGGUGUAGCGGUGAAAUGCGUAGAUAUCAAGAGGAACACCAGUGGCGAAGGCGGGUCUCUGGGCCGUAACUGACGCUGAGGAGCGAAAGCGUGGGGAGCGAACAGG
rnacentral:rRNA from 1 species